UCAGGAUGAACGCUGGCGGCGUGCCUAAUACAUGCAAGUCGAGCGACGACUGAUUAGAAGCUUGCUUCUAUGACGUUAGCGGCGGACGGGUGAGUAACACGUGGGCAACCUGCCUGUAAGACUGGGAUAACUUCGGGAAACCGAAGCUAAUACCGGAUAGGAUCUUCUCCUUCAUGGGAGAUGAUUGAAAGAUGGUUUCGGCUAUCACUUACAGAUGGGCCCGCGGUGCAUUAGCUAGUUGGUGAGGUAACGGCUCACCAAGGCAACGAUGCAUAGCCGACCUGAGAGGGUGAUCGGCCACACUGGGACUGAGACACGGCCCAGACUCCUACGGGAGGCAGCAGUAGGGAAUCUUCCGCAAUGGACGAAAGUCUGACGGAGCAACGCCGCGUGAGUGAUGAAGGCUUUCGGGUCGUAAAACUCUGUUGUUAGGGAAGAACAAGUACGAGAGUAACUGCUCGUACCUUGACGGUACCUAACCAGAAAGCCACGGCUAACUACGUGCC
rnacentral:rRNA from 2 species